rnacentral:rRNA from 1 species
AUACGUAGGGGGCGAGCGUUGUCCGGAAUGAUUGGGCGUAAAGGGCGCGUAGGCGGCGCGGUAAGUCUGGAGUGAAAGUCCUGCUUUCAAGGUGGGAAUUGCUUUGGAUACUGCCGCGCUUGAGUGCAGGAGAGGUUAUCGGAAUUCCCGGUGUAGCGGUGAAAUGCGUAGAGAUCGGGAGGAACACCAGUGGCGAAGGCGGGUAACUGGACUGCAACUGACGCUGAGGCGCGAAAGUGUGGGGAGCAAACAGGAUUAGAUACCCUGGUAGUCCACACCGUAAACGAUGAAUGCUAGGUGUAGGAGGUAUCGACCCCUUCUGUGCCGCAGUAAACACAGUAAGCAUUCCGCCUGGGGAGUACGGUCGCAAGAUUAAAACUCAAAUGAAUUGACGGGG